AAGUCGUAACAAGGUUUCCGUAGGUGAACCUGCGGAAGGAUCAUUAACAAUGAAUCUCUUCAUUAACACUGUGUACUGUCGGGUGGAAGCCCCGUCUGCGUAAAACCAGGCUGAUUUCCGCCCAAACCCCAAACACUAUAACUUUAAUCAGAGUCAAAUAACUUUUGUUAUACAGACAACUUUUAGCAACGGAUCUCUAGGUUCUC
rnacentral:misc_RNA from 1 species